rnacentral:rRNA from 1 species
GUGCCAGCAGCCGCGGUAAUACGUAGGUGGCAAGCGUUAUCCGGAAUUACUGGGCGUAAAGCGCACGCAGGUGGUUGUCUAAGUUCGACGUGAAAGCGCCUGGCUUAACUGGGCGAGGUCGUUGGAGACUGGAUGACUAGAGGUGAGGAGAGGGGUGUAGAAUUCCCGGUGUAGUGGUGGAAUGCGUAGAGAUCGGGAGGAAUACCAGUGGCGAAAGCGGCACCCUGGCCUUGGCCUGACGCUCAUGUGCGAAAGCGUGGGGAGCAAACGGGAUUAGAUACCCCCGUAGUCC